rnacentral:rRNA from 1 species
AGAAAGGAUAAAAGACGGCUUCUGCUGUCACUUACAGAUGGGCCCGCGGCGCAUUAGCUAGUUGGGGGGGUAACGGCCUACCAGGGCAACGAUGCGUACCCGACCUGAGAGGGUGAUCGGCCACACUGGGACUGAAACACGGCCCAAACUCCUACGGGAGGCAGCAGUAGGGAAUCUUCCGCAAUGGACGCAAGUCUGACGGAGCAACGCCGCGGGAGUGAUGAAGGUCUUCGGAUCGUAAAACUCUGUUAUCAGGAAAAAACCCGUACCGGAGAAACUGCCGGGGCGUUGACGGUACCUGACCAAAAAGCCACGGUUAACUACGGGCCACCACCCGCGGAAAUACGUAGGUGGCAAGCGUUGUCCGAAAUUAUUGGGCGUAAAGCGCGCGCAGGCGGUUUCUUAAGUCUGAUGUGAAAGCCCACGGUUCAACCGUGAAGGGUCAUUGAAAACUGGGAGGCUUGAGUGCAAAAAAGAAGAGCGAAAUCCCACGUGUAGCGGUGAAUGGCGUAAAGAUGUGAAGGAACACCAGUGCCAAAGGCGCCUCCUCUGGCCUGUAACUGACGCUGAGGCGCGAAAAGCGUGGGUAGCGAACAGAGAUUAGAUACCCUGGUAGUCCACGCCGUAUAACGAUGAGUGCUAAGUGUUAGGGGGUUUCCGCCCCUUAGUGCUGCAGCAAACGCAUUAAGCACUCCGCCUGGGGAGUACGGCCGCAAGGCUGAAACUCAAAGGAAUUGACGGGGGCCCGCACAAGCGGUGGAGCAUGU